rnacentral:rRNA from 1 species
AUGAGGCUGCAUUUCCAAGGAACAGAUAAUAUGGAGAGAAAGUAUUCAGUUUCUUCAUAUAUUAGUUAUCUGACCAUAUUAGCAUUGGCUAAGUUGGAGGGGUAUGGAAUGGAGGCUUUUCUGACUUAUGUAAAGGAAGAGGGAAAGGGCUUGGAGGGGGUGGAGGUCCUGGAUAGUGAGGAGGCAUUAGAGCAAAUGCUUGACUUAUUUGUUGAUAAGAAGAUCCUGAACAUCACUGUCAGAAAGCCUACUGAUCCAAGCCCAGCAGAUGUUAAUAUGGAUCACAACUUGCUUGAGGAACAGAUUCCCAUUAGUAAUGUUGGUGAGGAAGUUGUUUAUAGUGUUUCCCAACAAGGUGUCCUGUAUCCACUCCAGAAUGCAACUUUGGCACCAGAAAUCCCUGAGGAGCCCUAUCUUAACACACAACAUAGUUGUAAUUUGAACAAGGGAAAAAAUGUUGUGGAAGAAGAAGAAGAUGUAGAAGUAGAACAUGAGGAAGAUGAAGAUGAGAUGGACAAAUCUUCUUCAGAUUUUGAGUUUUUUAGGGAUGAUUACAAAGGGCAGACAAUAUCAUACAAGGCUUGGUGUAGGGGUGAAGAUGAGGCUGGCACAGGGACAAGUCAUAAGCCUAGGGAAGAGGAAGAUACUGCAGAGCACUAUUGUGGAGCAAACUCAGAACCAUCAGAGUUUUGGGAGGAAGACCAAAUCCUUUCUGAACAUGAAGAACCCUCAGUUGUACCAGAGAAAGGAGCAAAGAAGCUUAAGCCUGUCAGGAAACCAGGCCCAACUAUCAACUCACACAGUGAGCCUGAAAACAUCAAGUUUGAAGAUUUUGUGCCUGAACCUGAUGAAUACUGCUUUCCAGGUGAUUUUGGCCUUAGUGGUGAAGAAGAAGUUCCAAGGUUGCCUUCUGGUAGGAAGAGAAGGUUGAAGAAGAGGAAGGAGAGGAGGUGGUAUGAUCCAUCAGUCCCUGAUGCACAUGAGCAGUUUGCAUUGCAUUUGUGCUUCCUAAAUGUUGUGGAGUUCAGAGAAGCACUAAGAAAUUUCCAUGUCAGGACACUUAGGAAUUUUGAGUAUCACAGAAAUGAACCAACUAGGGUUAUUGCUUGGUGCUCUGAUAGAAAGCAAGGUUGUCAGUUUUAUAUAGUGGCCUCUAGAAUAGCUAAUGAGUCAACUUUCAGCAUCAAGAAGAUGAAUUUGGAUCACACUUGUGGAGCAAGUGGAGAGAGCACCAAGGUUACAGUCAAUUGGGUUGCCAAGGUUUGUGAGGAUACCAUUAGAUCAAACCCUGGAGCUGGUGUUGAGACAAUUCUGUCAUACACAAAGAAAACAUUUGGUGUUCAUGUGCCUAAAAGCUUGGCAUAUAGGGCAAGGAAGCAAGCACUUGAAGUUGUGCAAGGAGAUCACAAACUCCAAUAUCACAGACUAAGGGACUAUCUCCAGUGUGUGCUAGAUACUAAUCCAGGCAGUAGAUGCAUAGUGACAACAAAAGAGGACCUAGAAAAUCCAGCUCCUACCCCCAGGUUUCACUACAUGUUCUACUGCCUUUUUGCAUGCAAAGAGGGCUUUCUAAAUGGAUGCAGGCCAUUCAUAGGUACAUGA